rnacentral:rRNA from 1 species
GGUAGCGAAAUUCCUUGUCGGGUAAGUUCCGACCCGCACGAAAGGCGUAAUGAUCUGGGCACUGUCUCAACAAUAGACUCGGUGAAAUUGUAGUACCGGUAAAGAUGCCGGUUACCCGCAGCAGGACGGAAAGACCCCGUGGAGCUUCACUGUAGCUUGAUAUUGAUUUUCGGCAUUGCAUGUACAGGAUAGGUGGGAGACGUUGAGUUCAGCACGCCAGUGUUGGAGGAGUCACCGUUGGGAUACCACCCUUGUAAUGUUGGAAAUCUAACCUAGUACCGUGAUCCGGUACAGGGACAGUGUCAGGUGGGCAGUUUGACUGGGGCGGUCGCCUCCUAAAGAGUAACGGAGGCGCCCAAAGGUUCCCUCAGAGCGGACGGAAAUCGCUCGAAGAGUGUAAAGGCAGAAGGGAGCUUGACUGCGAGACGGACAGGUCGAGCAGGGACGAAAGUCGGGCUUAGUGAUCCGGUGGUGCCGAGUGGAAGGGCCAUCGCUCAACGGAUAAAAGCUACCCCGGGGAUAACAGGCUGAUACCCCCCAAGAGUUCACAUCGACGGGGGUGUUUGGCACCUCGAUGUCGGCUCGUCUCAUCCUGGGGCUGGAGUAGGUCCCAAGGGUUGGGCUGUUCGCCCAUUAAAGAGGUACGCGAGCUGGGUUCAGAACGUCGUGAGACAGUUCGGUCCCUAUCCGCUGUGGGCGUUGGAAAUUUGAGAGGAGCUAUCCUUAGUACGAGAGGACCGGGAUGGACAUACCUCUGGUGUACCGGUUGUUCUGCCAAGGGCAUAGCCGGGUAGCUACGUAUGGAAGGGAUAAGCGCUGAAAGCAUCUAAGUGCGAAGCCCACCUCAAGAUAAGAUUUCCUCCGAAAGGUAAGACCCGUGAGAGACUAUCACGUUGAUAGGUCAGAGGUGUAAGUACGGUAACGUAUUCAGCUGACUGAUACUAAUAGGUCGAACACUUGACCAA